rnacentral:lncRNA from 1 species
CUAUACUUUCGCAAAGGUUAUCAGUUUACCUACUCUUGUGGUGAAAAUUAGAAAGCUACAUUCCUGAAACUGGCUCAUUUUCCAACAACAUAUUGAAGAAAAGCAAACAGAAGUAAAUUAUCUCGGAUACCUUUUAAGUUUGUGUCUUUUGUAUUUGCUACAGCAUGAACAAAUAUUCCUGCUUUGCCCUCCUAAGCUGAAUUGUGAACUAUGAUUCGCCUUUCCCCUCAAAGAUGUUGAUUUUAAAACGAAGCUUCUGCCUUUGUUUCUGAGCACAGUAGACCCUAUUUGUUUUACAGCAACAACUGUUGGGAAGGGACCUUGGACCUUCAUGACAACUCCAAUGAAUCUCCAGAUUUAACAGCUACAGCAUCUAAGACCAAAAGCAAAGUAUAUGUCAAGUGUUCAUCCACCAUCCCCCUUCCCCUUCUCCAUGGAAGUGGACUGUUUCAAACCUGAGUGUUUUAAAUGUCAUAAUGCUGCCCUAGAGAAGAAGCAUUGGAACACUUGCACCUGUGGCACUCAAACAAGAUGCCCUCCCCUGAAGGCUCAGUUACCUUUACAGGCCAGUUCUGCUCCCAGUUUUCUUUCAGUGAUUAAAAAAGACAUUUCAUUUUGUGUGUGCAUUAAAGUCAGCUUUUUGCAGUGUCACAUUUGUGACAGAGACAACAGCCCCAAAGGAGCUGGACUUGAACUGGCAUUUCCCUUUGGUAGAGUCAAUGAAGCAGCCGUUGGUCAGAGCUGCGGUCUGGGAGAUGCAGUUUUCUAUGGUGAAGACAUUCCCAAAGGUUUCCACCUGACACUGACACCUGCGGACAUUGUACAGAAAGGAAAGCUCUUCACUAACUACGUGCACACCCAAACCUUGUAGAUUUCUCCUAUGGACCUGGUGUGCCAGAGAUGACCCUUGCAGAUAAUUUCAGACCUGCCUGGAUUUGAAGUUCAAGCCACUGACUCCAGAGAAGGAAAACGAUCCAUGCAAAAUGCCUGAGUUAAGAUUGCCAUUCAGUUACCCUCCAGUUGUAUGGUCCUUGGAGGACAAAAUCCUUUUUAAGUGGUCUCACUGCAGGCAAUGGUCAGCUCUGAACAGAAUUUGAAAGGUGAGCUACUACUGGACAAUAGUACCCUAUACUUGAAUGCUUAUGCAAAAUGUAAAACAAAUUACAAAAUAAAGUAUGAUCUUCACAUUUCCUUUCUGCUCCA